GGUCAAAAUUUAAAUGAAGCUGCGUGUAUCACUGUUACGCCGCACAAGCCCAGAUUCACUUUUUCGCUAACUAGCGAGUGUGUUCGGUUCAAAAAUAAGGGCAAUCGGUGGAAAUGCAAUCGUCCGUGUCAUUCUCGUCAGCAACAGCCGCAGCUCCAUUCGGUGGGGUCAAAAGGUCGGCGAAAUCUUCGUUUCCGGUGAAAGCUCUCUAUACUUCGACGCCGAGAACCUUCGGCGAUCCUUCGGUCAUGGCGGCUCCGAAAUGGGCUCAGAAGACAAUAACCCUCCCUCCUCAGAAACGUGGUUGUCAUCUUAUAACUCCCAAGAUCUUGAAGGAAAUUGGAGAAGAUUUGUCUGGAUUUAAAUGUGGUCUUGCAAAUCUCUUUUUGCAGCACACGAGUGCAUCAUUGACCAUCAAUGAAAACUACGACUCAGAUGUCAGGGCUGACACGGAAACUUUUCUCAACAGAGUUGUCCCAGAGGGAAGAUCUGCACCAUGGAAACAUACCAUUGAAGGUCCAGAUGAUAUGCCAGCACACAUUAAGUCAUCAAUGUUUGGGUGUGCUCUCACGAUACCAAUUACAGAUGGACAGCUUAACAUGGGAACUUGGCAGGUCAAUAGUAAACUCUUGGGGGAUAUGGCUGUGUGAGCAUCGUGAUGCACCUACUGCACGGAAAGUUGUCAUCACCCUAAAUGGAAUUUAAGGUGCAAACUUGUGUGAAGAUGCUAGCAACAUGGAAUAUAAUAAUGUAUGUAAUAUAAUGGCAAAGGGGCUUGAGAUUUGCUUAAGUCAUGAAUGUGACAAGUGGAAAUGACAUUAGUGAAUGAGGUUGUAUGCUUUGUAUGUUUUUUCUUUGAUAAAAAACUCAUGAUGUUGUGGGAAAAGUUAACGCAUGUUUGAUGCAUCUUGUUGCAUAAACUUUAUUUUAUUGUAUCAAAAUCAUCAACUUAUUAGGGCUUAUGGUUACAAAUCUAUAUAAUAACAAUGGCAAUUAGAAGACA